rnacentral:rRNA from 1 species
GACGGUUUUCCCGUCUUCGGAGGCACCUGCACAGGUGCUGCAUGGCUGUCGUCAGCUCGUGUCGUGAGAUGUUGGGUUAAGUCCCGCAACGAGCGCAACCCUUAUCCCCAGUUGCCAUCAGGUAAAGCUGGGAACUCUGGGGAGACUGCCGGUGAUAAACCGGAGGAAGGCGGGGAUGACGUCAAGUCCUCAUGGCCCUUACAUCCCGGGCUACACACGUGCUACAAUGGCAGGUACAGAGGGCUGCAAAGCCGCGAGGUAGAGCGAAUCCCAGAAAACCUGUCUCAGUCCGGAUUGAAGUCUGCAACUCGACUUCAUGAAGGCGGAAUCGCUAGUAACCGCGAAUCAGCAGGUCGCGGUGAAUACGUUCCCGGGCCUU